ACUGUCUGUUGAAGACCCCCCCCCCCCACCAAGCUGCCCACCAGAGGCCAAGCUGUACUUGGUGUUUGCCAACAUGCUGUAAUUUCCAGCCUGGUUGCUGUAGCCACAGAGGAAUUUUCAAGGACAAGAACCAGUGCUGGUAAAACUGUGGUCUCUGUGGUUUUCCAUACCGGCUCUCGGCAAGGAUUUUCAAGAAAGGAAUACCAUCUCCAAAUCAUGAUGUGCCAAUAAGCUCCAGUUAGCUGCGGCCUUUUCCCCAGGCGGUAGUCCUGCAAUCUGAAUCCAGGAGAUGCAGCUCUGAAUCCAAUAUUUCAGAAGAAUGAAGAU